rnacentral:rRNA from 1 species
GAUGAACGCUGGCGGCGUGCUUAAUACAUGCAAGUCGAGCGAAGCGCUUUGAAGUUUUCGGACGGAUGAGUGACUGAGCGGCGGACGGGUGAGUAACGCGUGGGUAACCUGCCUCAUACAGGGGGAUAACAGUCAGAAAUGACUGCUAAUACCGCAUAAGCGCACAGUACCGCAUGGUACGUGUGAAAAACUCCGGUGGUAUGAGAUGGACCCGCGUCUGAUUAGGUAGUUGGUGAGGUAACGGCCCACCAAGCCGACGAUCAGUAGCCGACCUGAGAGGGUGACCGGCAC